rnacentral:rRNA from 1 species
CAGUCGCCACGGUAAUACGUAGGGUGCAAGCGUUAAUCGGAAUUACUGGGCGUAAAGCGUGCGCAGGCGGUUUUGUAAGACAGAGGUGAAAUCCCCGGGCUCAACCUGGGAACUGCCUUUGUGACUGCAAGGCUAGAGUACGGCAGAGGGGGAUGGAAUUCCGCGUGUAGCAGUGAAAUGCGUAGAUAUGCGGAGGAACACCGAUGGCGAAGGCAAUCCCCUGGGCCUGUACUGACGCUCAUGCACGAAAGCGUGGGGAGCAAACAGGAUUAGAUACCCGCGUAGUCCCUGUCUCUUAUAC